UCUAAUAAAGAGAAGAUAACCUUUAUUAGUCCCACACGUGGGAAAUUUGUUUUGUCACAGCAGGAAGUGGACAGUACAAAAGUUAUAUAGCAAAAAUUAGAAUACAAUAAGAAUAAAAUAAUGUACACAACUGUACAGAAUAGAAUAAAAUACUAUAUACAGUAGAAUAAAUAGAAUAAAAUAUAAUUCUCCUCUGAACGUAAAUUUUCUAUAUAAAAACACUGUUCAGUCAGUUGUUAAAGAAAAUAGAGACCGCUGACAACAAUGAUGAUUCCACGCUGAACAAGCACUGGAGUCCAGUCUGUACGUUUAAGUUUACUGGUGACAGUCACAGAACAAUAUGUCGGAUUAUAGUAAUGAACUAAACCUGAACAAAACUGACACUAAGUCUUAAAAAAUAUCUAAGAAAUUUAAAAAAUUUAAAGAUGUUAUUUUUUGUCUCUUUCAGUUUGGUUACAUUUAGUCAACCUGCAGAGCCAGCUUUGAUCCACUCAAAGCAGGAUGUGUACGCCACCAUCAGUCAGCUGCAGCUCUGACCUCAAACCGACAGAGAAGUGUAAAGAGACACGAGUGACGUGUCUCUGUCAGCGUGAACCCCGCCCCACUGCAAACAGAAACAAUCUGCAGUGUCUCAGGUGUGUUCACUGAAUGUGGGAAAAUGUUCUUAAUUCAAUAAAAGAUUUGAUUUUCAAAUCUCGCACCUGUCACAGGUAAGCAGGAAAACAAGUUGUUUACAGUAAACUCUGAGACGCUUCUGACUGUUCGUCACGUCACAGAUAUGAUAAUAAUGUGAUCAGUCCGGCUCAGCAGCAUCAGCUCACACUGACACACCUGCUCUUACCUGCUUACUGAGAACUGAGGUGUGUCAGGACAAGUUUCACAACCGCUGCUAACACGAAGUCCACUGAUAUAAACCAGAGGACUCUAACCUGUAUUAUUGCACUAGUUAAUCUAAACACACACACACACACACACACACACACAGUUUACAGCCGUGAUCUUCAGUCAGCUUUGAAGUUUUCAGGUUUUGAACUCAACACUUUAUAUGAAACGGUCUGAUCUUAAAACACAGCCAAGAAUUUAAAUGAAAAAA